GAAACCCUAUCAGGCAAGGUCUAACCAACCACCUGUACCGAGUCCUUGGAGUCGAAGCGGUAACGUCAGAUUUAAGCGUAGGACAGGGAGCGAACGAGCCGAAACGAAAGUGAAGUUAUUGAGCCACGAAAUUAUUAUCUAAAAGAAGAGGUCGAUAUUGUCUUAGUGAUCGCAGACAACAUUAUAUAAAUCGUAAUGGUGAGAUUUAUAUAACUCUUCCGGGGUCUGAGGACU
rfam:Clostridium tepidiprofundi DSM 19306 CLTE_contig000058, whole genome shotgun sequence.